rnacentral:rRNA from 1 species
GCCCAACAGCUAGCCCACCUAAACAAACUCAACAAACCCCUGUUAAUAACCCCUAAAUACCCUAGUAUUUAAAUUAAACAAACCAUUUUUCCCCCUUAGUAUAGGCGAUAGAAAAGGACAAACGGCGCAAUAGAGAAAGUACCGCAAGGGAACGCUGAAAGAGAAAUGAAACAACCCAGUGAAGCCUAAAAAAGCAGAGAUUAAAGCUCGUACCUUUUGCAUCAUGAUUUAGCAAGUGUACAUCAAGCAAAGCGAACUUUAGUUUGACGUCCCGAAACUACGUGAGCUACUCCAAGACAGCCUAUAUAAUAGGGCGUACCCGUCUCUGUAGCAAAAGAGUGGGGAGAGCUUUGAGUAGAGGUGACAAACCUACCGAACCUAGUUAUAGCUGGUUGUCCAAGAAAUGAAUAGGAGUUCAGCCUCUUGGCUUCUCUUUUCACACUAGUUUAACCCCUAAUUGAUGCCUUAAAGAAACCAAGAGAGUUAGUCAAAGGGGGUACAGCCCCUUUGAAUCAAGACACAACUUUAUUAGGAGGGU